UACGUAGGGGGCGAGCGUUGUCCGGAGUUACUGGGCGUAAAGGGCACGCAGGCGGUGCGGCGCGUUUCGCGUGACAGCGGAGGGCUUAACUCUCCGAGGAUGCGAAAGACGGCGGCACUUGAGGGCCAGAGAGGGACACGGAAUUCCGGGUGGAGUGGUGAAAUGCGUAGAGAUCCGGAGGAACACCGAAGGCGAAGGCAGUGUCCUGGCUGGUGACUGACGCUGAGGUGUGAAAGCUAGGGGAGCGAACGGG
rnacentral:rRNA from 1 species